GACCAUAGGUGGUUCUAGCAAAUACCAACCCAACCGCCACCCAUUUCAUAUCCUUCCUUCUUUCAAGCUUUCUCCCACUGUACUUCUUCUCCUUACCAUCAUUUCCAUAUUUGGUUCCAUCUUACUUUAACUCUCUUUGUCUUUCCUUUUCCAUGGAUUCCUUUCUUCUUUUUCCUUUUCUGCAAACCCUUUUUUUUCUCUUUGGCUGCUGAGAAAGCCUUCAGAAUGGUUAUUAGAACUUCUGUUGUGUUACCCAUCUGAUACGAUUGGUAUAUACUCUUGUGGGUGUUGUUGAUUUGUUGUUUUUCUCUUUCAAGAUUGAAGCAACUACAGUAUGUCACUUGGGUUUCAAAUUUUCUUUCAAAUUUUUAUUUUCCUGCGUUUUCUCGGAAGCCAAACAGGAAGUUUUUCUGACUACACAGUUAAUUAAAUAGGGCUGAAGAAAUGGCCUCUGCUAAUUCAUUAGCUUCCUUGACUAAAAUUUCUCCAUUUUUCUCGCCACAAAGAAGAUAUCAAUUGAUUAUUCCUCAAUUCGGUCAAUAUUGGUCUGUAAAGCCUUGUACUUGGGUUUCUACCACAAUCUGCAACAACCGAAGCCCUAAAAGUGCUAAUUUUGUUGUUCCGAAGCCAAGUAAAGGCAGAAUUCGAGAGUUUAGGCUAUUCAGAUCGGUAGAAUUGGACCAUUACAUAACAAGUGACGAUGAAGAUGAAAUGAGUGAAGGGUUUUUUGAGGCAAUUGAAGAACUUGAGAGAAUGACAAGAGAACCCUCUGAUAUUCUUGAGGAAAUGAACGAUAGGCUCUCUGCGAGAGAGUUACAACUAGUACUGGUAUACUUCUCUCAAGAGGGAAGAGAUUCAUGGUGUGCGCUUGAGGUGUUUGAGUGGUUAAGAAAGGAGAAUAGGGUCGAUAAAGAGACGAUGGAUCUUAUGGUUUCGAUUAUGUGUAGUUGGAUAAAGAAGUUGAUAGAAGGGGAUCAUGAUAUCGGGGACGUGGUUGACCUAUUGGUGGAUAUGGAUUGUGUGGGGUUGAAGCCAAGCUUUAGUAUGAUUGAAAAGGUGAUUUCUUUGUAUUGGGAGAUGGGACAGAAGGAAAGAGCUGUUUCAUUUGUGAAAGAGGUUUUGAUACGGGGAAUUGCCUAUUCGAAAGAUGAUGGAGAAGGUCAAAAGGGAGGCCCAACUGGGUAUCUUGCAUGGAAGAUGAUGGUAAGCAUGUAUUUCUUCAAUUCUAACUAUAUUUUUCGGUUCAUCUUUAGUUGGACGAUUGGGUGGUUAGUGCUGUUGUUUCUCUUCAUAUUUUGGAUUGCAUAAUUUGUCUCUUAGGUGCAUUUUGUCUCUUGUUUACAUUGCAUCGCUAGAAUAUGUGAGUUGAACUUGCUUGGACUUUAUUCAUUUAAUUUGCUGGACACUGCUAGAAUAAUGAUUGGAAUUUCUCAGUCUCCUUCCUACUAUUGUGUAAACUUUCUGGGAUAUUUAAUGUUUUCUUUUUUAGUGAUGCGGAACUAUUUACAAAUUGUUUUCCUUUGCAGUGUUCUAAAAUAUACCAUUUGAUGGUCUGUUGUGUUAAAAUUGGUUAAAAUUGAUGCUUAUUCUAUGACCAGUGCUGAUUUUAUAUCUAUAUUAUGCAAUUCAUAAUUAAAUCAUUGAGCCCAAAUGUAUACAAUGUCUCCUACAUAACAUUACUACCAUGUGUUUUACACCACCCCCACUCCCAACACCACCCCCCACCCCCCCCUGUAAAGCAUGUGAGCUAAAAAUAAAUUAAACCUCAAGGAUAAGUCUCCUUCACUGCUCAAGCUUGAAAUAAUAGUUCAUGAACUUAUUAUUGAUUGUAGGAGCAUAUCAAUAGCUUUCCCAUUUUUUGACCUAUGUCUUUUGAGCAUUUUCUACUUCGCUUCAGUCAAUUGGUUGAAUUUAAGCAAAAUGAAUGUGAGUUGUAAUUAACAACUUUAGAAUUUUCUUUUUUCCUGUUUUGUAUGAAUUUUCUGUAAAGCAGAAAUUUCUUCUGUUGUCUUAAUGAAAGCUUGGAGUCUGUGUCAGGUUGACGGAAACUAUAGGGAUGCUGUCAAAUUGGUUAUCCAUCUUAGAGAAUCUGGGUUGAAGCCAGAGGUCUACUCCUGCCUAAUUGCAAUGACAGCUGUUGUGAAAGAGCUAAACGAAUUUGCAAAAGCUUUACGCAAAUUGAAAGGUUUUGCAAAGACUGGUGUGAUAGCUGAACUCGAUGCUGAAAAUGUAAGCAUUAUUGAGAAAUACCAGUCAGAUCUUCUAGCUGAUGGAGUAUGUUUGUCAAGUUGGGUGAUUCAGGAGGGAAGCCCUUCACUUUAUGGUGUAGUUCAUGAGCGGCUUCUUGCUAUGUAUAUUUGUGCUGGUUGCGGACUAGAUGCUGAAAGACAGUUGUGGGAAAUGAAACUUGUCGGUAAGGAGGCUGAUAGAGACCUUUAUGAUAUUGUUUUAGCCAUCUGUGCCUCUCAAAAGGAGGUCAGUGCAAUAGCAAGAUUACUUACUAGAAUAGAGGUUACAACCUCUCUCCAGAAGAAAAAAACAUUAACAUGGUUGUUGAGAGGUUACAUAAAAGGAGGACAUUAUGAUGAGGCUGCAGAAGUGCUAAUUAAAAUAGUGGAUUUGGGUUUAUGUCCAGAAUAUUUAGAUAGGGUGGCUGUGCUGCAGGGACUGAGAAAAAGAAUCCAACAAUGGGGAAAUGUGGAAUCUUAUCUUAAGCUUUGCAAGCGUCUUUCAGAUUCAAAUUUGAUUGGACCUUCUCUUGUAUAUCUGUAUAUAAAAAAAUACAAGCUCUGGAUCAUGAAAAUGCUUUGAACGACUCCUAUAAUCCUAUGAAGUGCGUAGAAGUUGAACCCAGAUUUUUUCCCAAAGGUCUUGUGGGUCAAUAACGUAUAGAAUGAACAUUGUUUUUCCAGGAGUUUUGAAAUAUAAAUUUUGUAUAGAUAUGAAUGGCUUCAGAGCAGUGCAGUGAUAUUCUGUGCUUGAGUCUCUGAUGUAGAUGAAAUGGGGAUACAUAUCAAGUGCUUUGUUCAUGGGGUUAUUUAAAUACUUGUACAUAUGGUGGAUGUUGUAAACACAAUGAUGGAUUCUAGUAACUACCAUAUGUUCUAUGGGUAUGUUAUGUAUAUUUCAUAUCUUCUGAUGUUUUGCAUUCCCGUGUAUGGACCUUUGUGUCAACUGCCUAUUUAAGAUUCUUCAUUUCUGGUUAGGUGGAAGAACCUAAAUUUGCUCCUUUAGGUUUUGAUCUUUAUCGCCAAAUUUGUGCAUUUGCACAUCUUUUUAAAGUUUUCUCAUGUUUAAACUUGUGUUAUGACUAUUGAUAUUCAUCUGAAUAGCCAGACAACUAGUUAUCUUUAGGUUCUUCUGUCAUGUAAUGAAUUGCCUUCCCUUGAAGCCAACGUAUUCUGAUUUAAAGGAGAAUCUGAGAUAUUAGCCAGUUCAUUGGGCAGGACAAGUGUGGCUUGAAUAAUUGAGCCGGCCUGAGUUGUCCUUGUUUGACCCAAUUCCCUAAUGAACGUUGACGAUACUAUUUUUUAAUUAAAAAUCAAAAUUUCACUCAAAUUAUAAAAUUUAUUUGCAAAUAAAACUAAUAUAAUAAUUAUGAGAAUAUUG
rnacentral:misc_RNA from 1 species